CGGGUAUAGUUUAGUGGUAAAACCUCAGCCUUCCAAGCUGAUGAUGGGGGUUCGAUUCCCCCUACCC
rnacentral:tRNA from 1 species